UACGUAGGGUGCGAGUCGAUUGAAUCGAUCUGGGCGUAAAGCGUGCGCAGGCGGUUCGUUGUGUCGGCGGUGAAAGCCCCGGGCUUAACCUGGGAAUGGCCGUCGAAACUGGCGAACUGGAGUGUGGCAGAGGGGGGUGGAAUUCCGCGUGUAGCAGUGAAAUGCGUAGAGAUGCGGAGGAACACCGAUGGCGAAGGCAGCCCCCUGGGCUGACACUGACGCUCAGGCACGAAAGCGUGGGGAGCAAACAGG
rnacentral:rRNA from 1 species